rnacentral:rRNA from 1 species
AUUGAACGCUGGCGGCAUGCCUUACACAUGCAAGUCGAACGGCAGCACGGGUGCUUGCACCUGGUGGCGAGUGGCGAACGGGUGAGUAAUACAUCGGAACGUACCUUAUCGUGGGGGAUAACGCAGCGAAAGCUGUGCUAAUACCGCAUACGCCCUGAGGGGGAAAGCGGGGGAUCGAAAGACCUCGCGCGAUUAGAGCGGCCGAUGCCUGAUUAGCUUGUUGGUGGGGUAAAAGCCCACCAAGGCGACGAUCAGUAGCUGGUCUGAGAGGACGAUCAGCAACACUGGGACUGAGACACGGCCCAGACUCCUACGGGAGGCAGCAGUGGGGAAUUUUGGACAAUGGGGGCAACCCUGAUCCAGCAAUGCCGCGUGAGUGAGGAAGGCCUUCGGGUUGUAAAGCUCUUUUGUCAGGGAAGAAACACCGGCUCUAACACAGUCCGGGAAUGACGGUACCUGAAGAAUAAGCACCGGCUAACUACGUGCCAGCAGCCGCCGUAA